GGCGAGUCGCUGCCUCCAUAGUGACGGAUGCGCGGCUUCCCCAGAACACGGAGGGAAGGGAGAUGUGCCAGGGAGUGUCAGGCUGUCCGCGGCUUUGGAUUGACGGGGAACCCGGCUGCUGAAGUCUCCGGGCUGCACGGUCUACCUCAUCAGCGAGUUGCUCGUUUGUGGGGAAACUGAAGGAACUGAACUUCCUGCUGCUGCCUGCGUCAGAGAUGCGUUGGAGGAGUUGGUGCAUGAAGGUGGUGUGCAGCCUAACAUAAUGAACCUGAAUGAAUAAGGAAAUCAGAAGAAAGUUUCUGUGCAUUUUUGCUCCAAUGAAGAAUGGGUGGCCCAAUGACACUGCCAGUAGAGUGGCAUGUGUUUUCAACCUGGUCUGCAGUGCUGUCUACAUGAGCUUGCACAUUCUCACCAUGGCCAGCUCAUGGAAACUCUUGAUAAUCCUCAAGCCCUGGCCAAGAGUUACAUUAAGGCAAAGGACUAACUGUACCGUUGACUGAAUGGGAAGCUAAAGCAGUACUUUAAAGUGAUUGGCCCUGAAGACAGCAUGCCAACACUGGCAAGUUUGGGAUUUGGUACAUGGCUAUCUGAAUGCGAAUGUCCUGAAGUUGUUGAUAGAUUCACCAGCAAGAAUCUGUUAUUAUGCUCAGCUGUUGCUUGCCACAUGGUUCAGGGUCUCUGAGCCCAUUCAAUGGAACAGAAAUGUUAUGAUUGUAGCGAAGAAAGGAAAGAACAUGCAGUAAAGGAACGUGAUACAAGGCUAUGGGACGUUCACUUCCAUCACUCAUAACAUAUGGCAUGACUGCAUCUAUACCAUAAGGCGAGGCGUCACAGGCAAGCUUCACUGGAUGGCGUGGAUCAUAAUGUGAAGGCAGAAGGGUUUCAUCCAUUAAUUAGAAAUUAACAUCAGUGUCGCUUGAGGUUUGUGCUACAGGAAGACCCACUUCUGACAGGAGCCGGUGACGUACAGAUUGGAACUCGAUCGAAGGAUCCAAUGGGAUGCUGUGUCUGGAGAGCUACCUCGUGGAGAUCGGAGAAUGGGGGCCAUAAGACCGAGAACAGAAAUUGGCUCAUGGAACAGUCCAGAGACGAGGCGCAGGGUCAUGAACGAGUCCAUCUUGAAGUGGUGAGGAAGAUUGAAGCAUUGAGGAGAUUGCAGAGUGGAUCAGUGAUGGCUCCCUAUGGAGUCGGUCAGCAGCUGGAUCGGCGACGUUUGGAACCGGGUGGGCGGUCACUCGUUAUGGACGGACUGAGUUUGAGCAGCCACUCUCCUCGUAUGCAGACAAAAAGAUGUUCCCAAUUUUCUCAGAUUUAUGUGAUUAUUGGACUGUACUUUAUAUUGGUUUCAUUCAGUUUUUCGGUGUUUUCUUUUUUGUGAACAAUUGGCAGAUGGAUGAUCUA